rnacentral:rRNA from 1 species
AUGAACGCUAGCUACAGGCUUAACACAUGCAAGUCGAGGGGCAGCAUGGUCUUAGCUUGCUAAGGCCGAUGGCGACCGGCGCACGGGUGAGUAACACGUAUCCAACCUGCCGUCUACUCUUGGACAGCCUUCUGAAAGGAAGAUUAAUACAAGAUGGCAUCAUGAGUCCGCAUGUUCACAUGAUUAAAGGUAUUCCGGUAGACGAUGGGGAUGCGUUCCAUUAGAUAGUAGGCGGGGUAACGGCCCACCUAGUCUUCGAUGGAUAGGGGUUCUGAGAGGAAGGUCCCCCACAUUGGAACUGAGACACGGUCCAAACUCCUACGGGAGGCAGCAGUGAGGAAUAUUGGUCAAUGGGCGAGAGCCUGAACCAGCCAAGUAGCGUGAAGGAUGACUGCCCUAUGGGUUGUAAACUUCUUUUAUAAAGGAAUAAAGUCGGGUAUGGAUACCCGUUUGCAUGUACUUUAUGAAUAAGGAUCGGCUAACUCCGUGCCAGCAGCCGCGGUAAUACGGAGGAUCCGAGCGUUAUCCGGAUUUAUUGGGUUUAAAGGGAGCGUAGAUGGAUGUUUAAGUCAGUUGUGAAAGUUUGCGGCUCAACCGUAAAAUUGCAGUUGAUACUGGAUAUCUUGAGUGCAGUUGAGGCAGGCGGAAUUCGUGGUGUAGCGGUGAAAUGCUUAGAUAUCACGAAGAACUCCGAUUGCGAAGGCAGCCUGCUAAGCUGCAACUGACAUUGAGGCUCGAAAGUGUGGGUAUCAAACAGGAUUAGAUACCCUGGUAGUCCACACGGUAAACGAUGAAUACUCGCUGUUUGCGAUAUACAGCAAGCGGCCAAGCGAAAGCGUUAAGUAUUCCACCUGGGGAGUACGCCGGCAACGGUGAAACUCAAAGGAAUUGACGGGGGCCCGCACAAGCGGAGGAACAUGUGGUUUAAUUCGAUGAUACGCGAGGAACCUUACCCGGGCUUAAAUUGCAGAUGAAUUACGGUGAAAGCCGUAAGCCGCAAGGCAUCUGUGAAGGUGCUGCAUGGUUGUCGUCAGCUCGUGUCGUGAGAUGUUGGGUUAAGUCCCGCAACGAGCGCAACCCUUGUUGUCAGUUACUAACAGGUUCCGCUGAGGACUCUGACAAGACUGCCAUCGUAAGAUGUGAGGAAGGUGGGGAUGACGUCAAAUCAGCACGGCCCUUACGUCCGGGGCUACACACGUGUUACAAUGGGGGGUACAGAGGGCCGCUACCACGCGAGUGGAUGCCAAUCCCCAAAACCUCUCUCAGUUCGGACUGGAGUCUGCAACCCGACUCCACGAAGCUGGAUUCGCUAGUAAUCGCGCAUCAGCCACGGCGCGGUGAAUACGUUCCCGGGCCUUGUACACACCGCCCGUCAAGCCAUGGGAGCCGGGGGUACCUGAAGUGCGUAACCGCGAGGAGCGCCCUAGGGUAAAACUGGUGACUGGGGCU